AUCUAGUUGAUGAGUCUCAAAUCGGACGAAAUGUGCAUCCUAUAU
rnacentral:hammerhead_ribozyme from 1 species